rnacentral:tRNA from 1 species
GGCUGGGUAGCUCAGUUGGUUAGAGCGAGGGAAUCAUAACCCCUAGGUCGUGAGUCCGAUCCUCACCCCAGCUACAA